rnacentral:rRNA from 1 species
AACUGUCUCAAUCAGUUAAUAUAAAAAUUAAUAUCUGUACGAAGAAUUACAGAUACAGUUGAAGGACAAGAAGACCCUAUAGAGCUUUAUUUUAAACAUAUAUUAAAAUAUGUAAAAAUUCGGUUGGGGCGACCCAGGAAUUUAUAAAACAUCCUAAAAAACAAAGAUCUAUAAAUCUAUUAAAUGACCCUUAUUAAGAUCAAAAGACAAAGCUACCUUAGGGAUAACAGGCUAAUCCUAUUUAAGAGUCCAUAUCAAUAAUAGGGUUUGGCACCUCGAUGUUGGCUUAGGGUAUCAAUAUAGCGCAAAAGUUAUAUAAAGAUGGUUUGUUCAACCAAUUAUUCCCUACAUGAGCUGA